rnacentral:lncRNA from 1 species
NNNNNNNNNNNNNNNNNNNNNNNNNNNNNNNNNNNNNNNNNNNNNNNNNNNNNNNNNNNNNNNNNNNNACCCCUCCUCUCUCUCUCUCUCUGUCUCUCUCGCCGGCUCCCAGCCCCGGCCCCGCUCCCCCCGCGCUCGGCCCCGCUCCGCUCGCCGGUUCCUUCGCUGCCGCCCGACUGCUCCGCCGGGGACUCCGCGGGGCCUUUAUGCGGGAGCGCUCCGUGACGUAGCUGCCCAUAUAUGGACAGACAAAGCCGAGCCGAGGCCGAGACGUCACAAUGGAAGCUCCGCACAAUGGAACGUUGGAGAGAGCAGGAAGCGGGGCCGGCGCGCCCGGGGACGGGGGACAGGGGACCGGGAGAGGGGGACCGGAGACCCUGUACCAGCCCAGGGGGACCGGGCACCGGAUACCGGGCUAGGGGGACCGGGAACGGGGCAUCAUGCACCGGGCAAGGGGGACAGGGCGCCGGACGUCGGGCAAAGGGGACCGGUCACCAGGCAUACUACACCGGGAAAGGGGUACCCGGUACCCUGCAUCUUGCACCGGGGAAUGGGGACCGGAACCUGGACAUCCCGCACUGGAUAAGGGGUACCGGGCUUCCUGCACCAAGCACUGGGUAUCCUGCACCGGUACCAGGCACGCUGCGCCGGAAAAGGGGUACCGGGCAUCCUGUCCCGAGCACCGGGAGCUCCGCGCAGGGCGCCGGGCAUCCUGCACUUGUCACCGAGCUCAGGGGACCGGCCGUGCAUCAGCCAUCCUGCACCGGGCAUUGGACGCAGGGCACCCUGCACAGGGCACCUGGCACGGUGCACCGGACCGGGGGUCUUCCCCUCUGCGCUGCACUCCCCGAGCCGAGCGGUGCCGUCCCCGUGCGGAGGGCAGGCUCUAGCCUUUCCAGCCCGGAUCAUUUCUCCCGGGAAGCAGCGGGGGAGCGGGGACAGCCCGCCCCCGCCGUGCCUGACCCUGCGGCCGUCCCCGGGGCUGUUCAGAGCCAGGCUCAUACCGGGAGGUUUUUUCCUCCAGUGGAGACCGGGACCGGCCACAAACCCCAUCCCGCAGCCGGGGCUGGCGCAGGAACGGGAUGGGAGCUGUGCGGGGAAAGCCACAGUGCCAGGCAGUGGAGUUUGGUAGGAAGGAUAGGGUCAGGGUGGGGGGGCUUCAGAAGCCUCCAGCUCCUCGGUGUGGUGGCAACGGUGACAGAGGGAAUGGCACUGCCCCGAGCCACCCUCUUCCCAUGUCCUGACUGCCGUGGAGAACAGCGCUUGGAAUACUUUAAAAACAGGUAACACUUGUUGGUCGCCUGUGAUUUUAACCUCACCUCCCCCCUUUAAAAGUUUGGCACUUCCAAGGCGUCAGUAAUUAGGUGGUUUCGUGCUAAGUGUGCCAACUGAUGCUAUCUUUAAAACCCUCCGAGUUAUAUAGCAAAUGUAUGGAAAAAUGCUGUGUUGCAAUAGCUCCACUUACCCAAUUCCUGCAGGGCCGGCUUUGCCAUGGGAGCGAAAUCCGGGCUACGGGAGGGCUGCGGCGG